UUUGUCCAAAAUGGCUGGCUCGACCUCCCUGAAAGAUGUGACUUGACCAACUCGUUUAGCUAACUCCCCUGUGACUCGGUCCAUGAAAAGAAGAUACAACCCGUUUCUUUCUUCCAACGCAGCUACUGCUUUCCUCGCGUGGAGAACUGAUGAUAUCCACUCCUCAAACACAACUACAGAUCCCAAGUUUCUCCCCAUCGAUAUCAGCUUCUUCAGUGAAGCUUGAGCAUGCAAAAAGAGAGCAUAUUAUUGUAAGAAGAGGAACAAGAACACAAGUUUGUUUCGUAAGUGCAACACAAGCUUCCAAUAAAAGGGAAUUGCAGCUCAGGUAUCAAAUUAUUUGUUUGCAAGUCAAGAGAUUGAAUAGUAUUACCUAAUAUGAAAUCUACAGCCUGAUGUGACCAGUUGCAGAAAUUAGACACCUGCAGAACAGAAGAAGCGAGUUCAAAUCUGCAAACUAUGUAAGAGUGCAUAUUACCAGAAAAUAGCUUAAGCAAUAAAGCCUAACACUGGAGUCCGCCGCUUGGGACAGUUCCAGGAGAAAAUCAAUAGAUAUCCUUAGCUGCUCUGCUUCGUCUUCAUAUUCAGGCUCUGCAGUCAAGAGUUUCAACUCAUAUAUAUAGGAGUCCUAAAAGAUGAUGCUUGGUUACAUACAUUCAAUUUAACAAUUCACCCAUCCAAGGUAAUAUCAAAGUAUGGUGUUGUAAAUAAUGUAUAAAGGAAACUGAAAGUGAGUGAAGCCCAGGAAGAGCCUUAGCAAAAACCUGAAAGCCGCAAUCUUUGAGAUGGUCGAGUUGAUUUCCUUCUUCCCCUUAUCCUUGCUAGGAAAUCAAAUGACAGCACAAGCUAAUAAGUAAAACCCCACAAACAAAAAGAAUACAAAACAGUUCAAACUACAAGACUAAUGAAUACAAAUAAAAGCAUAAGAAAUACACCUAUUCUGAGAAAUCUACGACGAAGAGCAUCGUUAAACCUCGGCUCAGAGGCCUCUCCAAUCCUCCUGCCGCUGAAUUCUCCCAAGUUAUCAAAGAAAUAACACUUGCAAGAAGCAUUCGCUGGGAACAAAUCACAACCUAAGGAAGGUUGCAGAAAUCGCAUCAACAAAAGCCAUUUCCAUUUUUGGGAAUCAUUAAAUACAUAAAACGAGUUGCCGAAGUUUUAGAUAAUAAUACUUUCAGCAUCCUUGAGAUCUUCCCGGAGUCUGAUUAUCUCUUUCUUCCUCUCUUUCGCCUAAUUUCAAAAUCGAAAACGCUAAUAUGUUAGAUUCAAACAAACAACGAUAAUCACUUAAACCCAAGUACGCAAAAUCGAAUUCGAGAGGGGACCUUCUGCUUCCAUCGAAGAGCAUCGGUUUCGGAGGGAGGAGCACCGCAACGAGAAGUAGAGGAGGACGAUCGACGGUUCUUCUGCUUCCAGCGAAGAUGAUCGGUUUCGGAGGGAGCAUCGCAGAGAGAAGUAGAGGAAGAAGAUAGACGGUUCUGGAUCUUCGAUCGUAGGAGAGAAACGGCGAUCGCCAGUCUCAGUGACUCUUCCUUCUCCUUCUCCAUGUGAUCUUCUGCUUCACUGACGCUCGAAUUAAUUUUUUUUAAGAAAGAAAGAAAAAAUGUUUUUAAUUUUCGGGAUGAUAAUGAUUUCGAUUUCGAUUUCUUGCGCGGGAGAGCUAUUGGUGAUGCUACACAGAGGCCCAUUAGUGCAUUUAAGACGGCCCAUAGAUUAGUUCAAUAACUCUUAAAGCUCAGCUACUACGGGUAGGGCUAUGAGCAGCCUCAGCCACUGAAAAAAUUUGAGAAGGAUUGUGCGGAUUUGCUAAAGAUGGUUUCCAUGGAUUGGCUAAUUUUCAAGACGGAUCUAGUUUUUUUUCUAGUGGGAAUCGAUUGGAAAACAUGUGAGGGGGAGAUAUUAUGAAAGAAUUACUAAUCUUGCAAGUUGCAAUUAUAGUUCCACGACUCAGUAUCUAUACUAUUAAAG